rnacentral:rRNA from 1 species
UACGUAGGGUGCGAGCGUUAAUCGGAAUUACUGGGCGUAAAGCGUGCGCAGGCGGUUUGUAAGACAGGUGUGAAAUCCCCGGGCUUAACCUGGGAACUGCGCUUGUGACUGCAAGACUCGAGUACGGGCAGAGGGGGGUAGAAUUCCACGUGUAGCAGUGAAAUGCGUAGAGAUGUGGAGGAACACCGAUGGCGAAGGCAGCCCCCUGGGCUAACACUGACGCUCAUGCACGAAAGCGUGGGGAGCAAACAGG